rnacentral:rRNA from 1 species
AUACGUAGGUGACAAGCGUUAUCCGGAUUUACUGGGCGUAAAGGGCGUGUAGGCGGUCUUGCAAGUCAGAAGUGAAAUUCCUGAGCUCAACUCGGGCGCUGCUUCUGAAACUGCAGGACUUGAGUGCUGGAGGGGAUAGCGGAAUUCCUAGUGGAGCGGUAAAAUGCGCAGAUAUUAGGAAGAACACCGGGGGCGAAGGCGGCUAUCAGGAAGGUACCGGGCCGUUAGGCGCGAAAGGGUGGGGAGAAAGCAGGUUUAGAGCCCCGGGUAGCCCACGCCGUAAACGAUGAAUACUAGGUGUAGGGGGUAUCGACUCCCUCUGUGCCGCAGUUAACACAAUAAGUAAUCCGCCUGGGGAGUACGGCCGCAAGGUUGAAACUCAAAGGAAUUUACGGGG